rnacentral:rRNA from 1 species
AUCGAUGAAGAACGCAGCAAAAUGCGAUAAGUAAUGUGAAUUGCAGAAUUCAGUGAAUCAUCGAAUCUUUGAACGCACAUUGCGCCCGCUGGUAUUCCGGCGGGCAUGCCUGUUCGAGCGUCAUUUCAACCCUCAAGCCCCCGGGUUUGGUGUUGGGGAUCGGCUCUGCCCUUCUGGGCGGUGCCGCCCCCGAAAUACAUUGGCGGUCUCGCUGCAGCCUCCAUUGCGUAGUAGCUAACACCUCGCAACUGGAACGCGGCGCGGCCAUGCCGUAAAACCCCAACUUCUGAAUGUUGACCUCGGAUCA